UACGUAGGGGGCAAGCGUUGUCCGGAAUCAUUGGGCGUAAAGAGCGCGUAGGCGGUCCAGUAAGUCCGCUCUGAAAGUCCGGGGCUCAACCCCGGGCGUGCAGUGGAUACGGGCUGGCUAGAGGCAGGCAGGGGAGAACGGAAUUCCCGGUGUAGCGGUGAAAUGCGCAGAUAUCGGGAGGAACACCGGUGGCGAAGGCGGUUCUCUGGGCCUGUACUGACGCUGAGGAGCGAAAGCGUGGGGAGCGAACAGG
rnacentral:rRNA from 1 species